rnacentral:rRNA from 1 species
GACGAACGCUGUCGGCGUGCUUAACACAUGCAAGUCUAACGGCAAUUCUCUGCUUUUGUGGGUUGCUCGAGUGGUGACCGGGUGCGUAACACGUGAGUAACCUGCCCUUGACUUUGGGAUAACUUCAGGAAACUCGGGCUAAUACCGGAUAUCAGCUCCUGCUGCAUGGUGGGGGUUGGACAGUUUCGGCGGUUGGGGAUGGACUCGCGGCUUCUCAGUUUGUUGGUGGGGUAGUGGCUUACCAAGGCUUUGACGGGUAGCCGGCCUGAGAGGGUGACCGGCCACAUUGGGACUGAGAUACGGCCCAGACUCCUACGGGAGGCAGAAGUGGGGAAUAUUGAACAAUGGGCGGAAGACUGAUGCAGCAACGCCGCGUGCGGGAUGAAGGCCUUCGGGUUGUAAACCGCUUUCGCCUGUGACGAAGCGUGAGUGACGGUAAUGGGUAAAGAAGCACCGGAUAACUACGUG